AUUCGACGGCUGGGAUAGCUCAGCCGGUAACAGCGUGAGACUCUGAAUCUCAGGGUCGUGGGUUUGAGCCCCAUGUUGGAUU